AUUGAACGCUGGCGGCAGGCCUAACACAUGCAAGUCGAGCGAGAGGCGGACGGGUGAGUAAUGUAUGGGGACUGCCCGAUCGAGGGGGGUAACUACUGGCAACGGUAGCUCAUACCGCAUACUAUCGGAUAACCCAUAUGGGAUUAGCUAGUUGGUGGGGUAAUGGCUCACCCAGGCGACGAUCCAUAGCUGGUCUGAGAGGAUGAGCAGCCACACGGGGACUGAGACACGGCCCAGACUCCUACGGAGGCAGCAGUGGGGAAUAUUGCACAAUGGGCGCAAGCCUGAUGCAGCCAUGCCGCGUGUAUGAAGAAGGCCCUAGGGUUGUAAAGUACUUUCAGUCGGGAGGCGUUACCGACAGAAGAAGCACCGGCUAACUCCGUGCCAGCAGCCGCGGUAAUAC
rnacentral:rRNA from 1 species